GAAACUAAGGUCCCAUCAUUUUUCCGCUGAAAAUAGAAUGAGAGAAACCAGAGAUCCGUUAUUUGAUUUAACGGGUCUCUUUUAUGUCAAAGGGCCCACCAUUCAUUUUCGAAAAAUAAAGAGAAAUAAACUAAAGACCCGUUAAAAACAACAGGUCGCUUCCAUUAAAUGGGCCCAUGUACAUACAAAUGCGGAAAAGGGAAAGACCCUUAUUUGUGUUACCGGGUCUCUUUCCCAACUAUUUUUCAUUAAAAAAAACCUCUCUCUUCUCUCCAUCUCUCUUCCUCUCCCAAUUUCCCCACCGCCCCUCUCAAUCAGAGAAACAAGAGAGUGAACUCGUCGAUGUAGGCUCUUCAGUACUGGAUAAACUCAAAGAUCUGUACCUGAAGAAGUUAUGGCAUCAACCUUCUCGAGCUACAAAAGUUCAUUGCUCUCAUAAGUUCCAGGGUUUGUUUUACCACCUCCGCCGCCGCCCAACACCGCCCUACCCAGGUUGUAGAAGACUAAUUCAGAGUCUACUCUCACCGCCUCUCACCGCCUCCAAGGAAGCUCAGGUUCAAUCAGACAUUGCACUCCUGUGCAAGUAGAGGUGCAGGUACACGACUAAAGAAACUUAGGGAAGCCAUCAGUAUAUGAGGAUGAGGAGUAAUGAUCUGUAUUUAUGGCUAGUCUACUUUCUAGAAGACGUCUGAUGUAAUGAAGAACCCAUUAAAUAUGUCCAAGUAUCAAGAAAAUUUCAAGUGAAGCUAGGUGCAUAGAGAUGGAUAUAGAAGCUCUUCUUUAAAUACAACCCAACUGCAAAACCUAAUAGUGCCGGAUGACCCUGAUUACUUCCUUGACUGCUGCAAAUGGUCCGAUGUCUACUGCAAUAACUCCACAGGUCGAAUUCACAGGCUUGAUUUUGAUGAAUUUAUGUCUGGUUGUGAAGACAGUGAUAGGUUUUUGAUGCAGCGGUUCCAUUUAUGCCCUUCACUGCUUGUCCUGGAGGACUUGCUCUACCUACUUACCUAGACCUCAGUGAGAUAUCCGUCGAUCACUCCUCAGCUUGGCGUAUCCCUGUCUUCCUAGGGUCCUUCUCCCACUUAAGUUUUCUGAAGAAACUUCGUCGGGAAAUGUGGAUGAGGUUAGAGACAUGUGGGUCGCGUAUUUGCUCAAGCAAGAAGCGGAUGAAGAAAACCAAGUUGAUGGUAUGAAAAUAACUCCAUGAGUUUUGGUUCCAAAUGUUGGUAAAUUGACAUGAAUGAUUAUAUUUUGAAUUGAUUUUUGUUUUACGUUUUUGGAAAUUGCGAUGUAAAGCUUUAACGUUUAUGCAAAUUACAAUUUAUGUAAAGUUUGUGUUUUGA